rnacentral:rRNA from 1 species
UACGGGGGGAGCAAGCGUUGUUCGGAUUUACUGGGCGUAAAGGGCGCGUAGGCGGUCAGCACAAGUCAGUUGUGAAAUCUCCGGGCUUAACUCGGAAAGGUCAACUGAUACUGUGCGACUAGAGUGCAGAAGGGGCAACUGGAAUUCUCGGUGUAGCGGUGAAAUGCGUAGAUAUCGAGAGGAACACCUGCGGCGAAGGCGGGUUGCUGGGCUGACACUGACGCUGAUGCGCGAAAGUGUGGUGAGCGAACAGG